UGAAAAUCCAUGGCAGGACUGGUUCAGUAUGAUUGUAUCAAUGAAUCUCGUACCUUCUUAUCAAGGACAAUGCCCUCAUGAUGAUCCUGGCAGGUGUUCCUGAAUGAGGACAUAGUUACUAUGUGUGGCUCAGUAUUUCCCAAGGAAUAUCAUAACAGUGUUCACAGAGAUGCCAUUCUACCACAAUCACACUAGCUAACAUCAUUUAAGUGGUAUUAACUGCUACAGAUACAUUUUUGCAUCCGUGCCAUUACUUUUGUCUAAUGG